CCCUACGUCUUUACACACACACACACACGCUGUAACGAUGUCUCAUGGAAUGUUUUCCGCGUUUAACGCAAUACAAUACAACUUUCAGCAACGGAUCUCUUGGCUCUCGCAUCGAUGAAGAACGCAGCGAAAUGCGAUAAGUAAUGUGAAUUGCAGAAUUCAGUGAAUCAUCGAAUCUUUGAACGCACCUUGCGCCCCUUGGCUAUUCCUUGGGGCAUGCCUGUUUGAGUAUCAUGAACACCUCAACUCUCAUGGUCUGCCAUGACGAGCUUGGACUUUGGGGGUUUGCUGGCCGUUGUGGCCGGCUCCUCUCAAAUGAAUCAGCUUGCCAGUGUUUGGUGGCGUCACGGGUGUGAUAACUAUCUACGCUUGUGGCCGUCCGCCAGGUAACCUUUGGUGACAAAGGUUCGCUGGAGCUUACAAACGUCUCUCCUCAGCGAAGACAGCUUUUGAAAGUUCGAUCUCAAAUCAGGUAG
rnacentral:rRNA from 1 species